rnacentral:rRNA from 1 species
AUUGAACGCUGGCGGCAUGCUUUACACAUGCAAGUCGAACGGCAGCGCGGGCUUCGGCCUGGCGGCGAGUGGCGAACGGGUGAGUAAUACAUCGGAACGUGCCCAGCAGUGGGGGAUAGCUCGGCGAAAGCCGGAUUAACACCGCAUACGACCUGAGGGUGAAAGCGGGGGAUCUUCGGACCUCGCGCUAUUGGAGCGGCCGAUGGCAGAUUAGCUAGUUGGUGGGGUAAAGGCCUACCAAGGCGACGAUCUGUAGCUGGUCUGAGAGGACGACCAGCCACACUGGGACUGAGACACGGCCCAGACUCCUACGGGAGGCAGCAGUGGGGAAUUUUGGACAAUGGGCGAAAGCCUGAUCCAGCAAUGCCGCGUGUGUGAUGAAGGCCUUCGGGUUGUAAAGCACUUUUGGCGGGAACGAAAAGGACUGUGCCAAUACCACGGUUCGAUGACGGUACCCGCAGAAUAAGCACCGGCUAACUACGUG